CUCAAUGAAAUUAAAUAGCCGCAAUACACUUGUGCUAAGGUAGCAUAAUCAUUUGUUUUUUAAUUAAAAACCAGAACGAAAGAUUUAACAUUUUUAUUUCUUUCUUAUAUAUACACAUUAAACUUAUUCUAAAUAUUAAAAAAUAUUUAUUACUUAAAAAGACGAUAAGACCCUAUUGAACUUAACUAUAGUUAAACUGGGGUAGUUAAUUAAAUAUAAUUUUAAUUUUAAAUUUUAAACAAACCUAAUACAAUUAAAUUAAUCAAGUUACCAUAGGGAUAACAGCGUAAUAUUUUUCUUAAGAUCUUAUUUAAAAAUUUGUUUACGACCUCGAUGUUGAAUUAAUAAUCUAUUAAAUGCAACAAUUUAAUAAUGAAAGUCUGUUCGACUU
rnacentral:rRNA from 1 species